AGAAUCAACGCUGGCGGCGUGCCUAACACAUGCAAGUCGCACGAGAAAGGGACUUCGGUCCUGAGUAAAGUGGCGCACGGGUGAGUAACACGUGAAUUAUCUACCUCCGAGUGGGGAAUAACUGAGAGAAAUCUUAGCUAAUACCGCAUAACACUUACGAGUCAAAGCAGCAAUGCGCUUGGAGAGGAGUUCGCGGCCGAUUAGUUAGUUGGCGGGGUAAUGGCCCACCAAGACGAUGAUCGGUA
rnacentral:rRNA from 1 species